rnacentral:rRNA from 1 species
GACGAACGCUGGCGGCGUGCUUAACACAUGCAAGUCGAACGGAAAGGCCCUGCUUUUGUGGGGUGCUCGAGUGGCGAACGGGUGAGUAACACGUGAGUAACCUGCCCUUGACUUUGGGAUAACUUCAGGAAACUGGGGCUAAUACCGGAUAGGAGCUCCUGCUGCAUGGUGGGGGUUGGAAAGUUUCGGCGGUUGGGGAUGGACUCGCGGCUUAUCAGCUUGUUGGUGGGGUAGUGGCUUACCAAGGCUUUGACGGGUAGCCGGCCUGAGAGGGUGACCGGCCACAUUGGGACUGAGAUACGGCCCAGACUCCUACGGGAGGCAGCAGUGGGGAAUAUUGCACAAUGGGCGGAAGCCUGAUGCAGCAACGCCGCGUGCGGGAUGACGGCCUUCGGGUUGUAAACCGCUUUCGCCUGUGACGAAGCGUGAGUGACGGUAAUGGGUAAAGAAGCACCGGCUAACUACGUGCCAGCAGCCGCGGUGAUACGUAGGGUGCGAGCGUUGUCCGGAUUUAUUGGGCGUAAAGGGCUCGUAGGUGGUUGAUCGCGUCGGAAGUGUAAUCUUGGGGCUUAACCCUGAGCGUGCUUUCGAUACGGGUUGACUUGAGGAAGGUAGGGGAGAAUGGAAUUCCUGGUGGAGCGGUGGAAUGCGCAGAUAUCAGGAGGAACACCAGUGGCGAAGGCGGUUCUCUGGGCCUUUCCUGACGCUGAGGAGCGAAAGCGUGGGGAGCGAACAGGCUUAGAUACCCUGGUAGUCCACGCUGUAAACGGUGGGUACUAGGUGUGGGGUCCAUUCCACGGGUUCCGUGCCGUAGCUAACGCUUUAAGUACCCCGCCUGGGGAGUACGGCCGCAAGGCUAAAACUCAAAGGAAUUGACGGGGCCCCGCACAAGCGGCGGAGCAUGCGGAUUAAUUCGAUGCAACGCGUAGAACCUUACCUGGGUUUGACAUGGAUCGGGAGUGCUCAGAGAUGGGUGUGCCUCUUUUGGGGUCGGUUCACAGGUGGUGCAUGCCUGUCGUCAGCUCGUGUCGUGAGAUGUUGGGUUAAGUCCCGCAACGAGCGCAACCCUUGUUCACUGUUGCCAGCACGUUAUGGUGGGGACUCAGUGGAGACCGCCGGGGUCAACUCGGAGGAAGGUGGGGAUGACGUCAAGUCAUCAUGCCCCUUAUGUCCAGGGCUUCACGCAUGCUACAAUGGCUGGUACAGAGAGUGGCGAGCCUGUGAGGGUGAGCGAAUCUCGGAAAGCCGGUCUCAGUUCGGAUUGGGGUCUGCAACUCGACCUCAUGAAGUCGGAGUCGCUAGUAAUCGCAGAUCAGCAACGCUGCGAUGAAUACGUUCCCGGG